GAUGAACGCUGGCGGCGUGCUUAACACAUGCAAGUCGAACGGAAAGGCCCGGCGUUUGUGGGUUUCACGUGUGGCGAACGGGUGAGUAACACGUGAGGAACCUGCCCUUGACUUUGGGGUAUCUUCAGGAAACUGGGGCUAAUACCGGAGAGGAGCUACUGCUGCAUGUGGUGGGUUGGAGAGAUUCGGCGGUGGGGGAUGGACUCGCGGCUUAUCAGCUUGUUUGGGGGGUAGUGGCUUACCAAGGCUUUGACGGGUAGCCGGCCUGAGAGGGUGACAGGCCACAUUGGGACUGAGAUGCGGCAGAGACUCCUACGGGAGCGAGAAGUGGGGAAUACUGCAGAAUGGGCGGCAGCCUGAUGCAGCAACGCCGCGUGCGGGAUGACGGCCUUCGGAUUGUAAAACAAUUUCGCAUGUGACGAAGCGUGAGUGAAGGUAAUGGGUAAAGAAGCCCCGGCUAAAUAAGUG
rnacentral:rRNA from 1 species